GAUGAACGCUGGCGGCGUGCCUAACACAUGCAAGUCGAACGGAAAGACGAGGAGCUUGCGCCUUUAACGCUAGCGGCGGGCGGGUGAGUAACACGUGGAUCACCUACUUAUAUGUCGGGGAGAAUUACGGGAAAGGGGAGACAAUAAGAGAGAAGAUAAUGAACCGUAGUGGGCAAUGGAGAAAGACGGCUGUUGUGGAUGUAUUAGAGGGUUUCGAGCCGGAUUAGGGGGUUGGUAAGGUCACGGGAUACCAAGGCUACGAUGCGUGGCCGAGCUGAGAGGGUGAUCGGCCACACUGGAACUGAGACACGGUCCAGACUCCUACGGGAGGCAGCAGUAGGGAAUCUUGCGCAAAGGGCGAAAGCCUGACCCAGCCACACCGCGUGAGUGAUGAAGGCCUUCGGAUCGUAAAGCCCUUUUAUUGGGGAAGAACAGCUGUGGAAGUAACUAUAGACGUUUUGACGGUACCUAAUCAGAAAGCCACGGCUAACUACGUG
rnacentral:rRNA from 1 species